rnacentral:lncRNA from 1 species
CAGUAGCAUUAGGUACAUUCACAUUGUUGUGCAACUAUCACCACCAUCCAUCUCCAGACUGUUUGCAUCUUGCAAAACUGAGACUCCCCUGUACACCUUUAACAACAACCCCCAUUGUCCCCUUCCCUCAGCUCCUGGCAACCACCAUUCUACUUGAUGCCUCUAUGAAUCUGACUACUCUAGGUACCUCAGAUGAGUGGAAUUAUGCAGUAUUUGUCCUUUUGUGUGUACAACUAAUUUGACAGGCAGUAUGAUAAGGAACAAUCUGAAUGACACGUAAACAGGAGGGGGUAAAUUCCAAGCACAGCCUGAAUGAGAAGUACAACUCAUUUCCUGUAACCUAGAUGCCUUUUUAACACAUCUAUGCAGUCUCCAUGUGAAACCAGGUGCUGUUCCCAAAGGAGAAAACACUGCCCUCCAGUGGUCUUCAAUGAAGAAAUGGAAAUAGUUUCAGGUGGAAACCAGGCUUCUUGGAAGACUUCAAACUAUGCCAAAUGGUCUGAUUUCACCAUAGAGAAUGUUAUACUAUUAAUUGCCAAUUUGCAUAUGUGUGCAGCUGCUGUUUUGGCUCUGAACUCAAUCCGAUAAGCUUGCUGGAGGUAUCGCAGAGCACUUGGCAGCUUUCCUAUUUGAAAAGAAAGCCUCUCCCCUCUACAGAACAGCUGAUCGUCUAUCAGCGAUAGACCCUGAUGGCGUGAAUUACAAUUACACUACUUUUCACACUAAAUCUGGGUGAUAGCUACUUGGAAAGAAGUUUCAUCAUUUUUUACCACAAACUGGAAAAAGAAUUACAUGGUCAUGCUGUGCUUUUAAAGGCAGUUUGGUUCACUUUUGUCUAUUUAACACCUAAUUCCAAGAAGUCCAUAGGCAUCUAGAGAUCUGAAUGGCGCGUAAUGAAUUCACUGUUUAGAUUGAAGAUUUUAAAAAUCUACCUCAAAUUACAUUUAUUAACAGGGCGACCAGGAAGUGUUAAAGUUGUUAGACACUUCAUUUAUUAAAUAAUUUGUGGGUAUUUUCAGUUGUCAUAUCUAGAGUCAUGGGGUUUGCUUAUUUUUUUUAAUUAGCAAUCCAAAACAAUGCUACUGCAAUUUAACAAUUCAUCACAUAAUCUUGGGCUCUUCAGUUCAACUGCUAAUGUUAGAUAAUUCAGAUUGUUAUUUUUGUCUGUUUAUAAAUGAUUUUGGUUGCAUUGUGCUGUGAGGAGAACUGCAGCAGCCCAGGCAGAUGAUCUUUCUCUUAUUUCCUGCAUUGCUCAGGAUGGUUGAGGGGCCUUCCAAAAAAUGCAUUUGAGGAGUUAAGUUUAGCAUCUAGCAAAAGCAAACAAGUGAUGGGGCAGGGGGCACUAAUAAUAACUUGAUUUAUUAUCAUCACUUAUUUACGUCAUUAUCAAUUUACAUUUCCUGUCUGUUCGGAAAACUGAGGAAGGGCCUCUUUGCCAAACUACAUUUUGUUAGAAUCCUCCAUUUCUCUGAUUUUCUGGGACGUUAGAAAGUAUUGUCUUUCCUCUUCUUGAAAGAAUCGGCCAACCAUCAGAAAAUUUAAGAAGCUCCUAAACAUCCCUUUUCUUUUCUCUUUCUUUCCUCAGCCCUCUUCCCCUCCCAUCUUGACAUUUAAAUCAAUUUGUUGGGGUGGGUGGGGGGGAAAGAACAAGAGUUAAACCCACCUCAGGCAGCAGAAGUGGAACACAUUAAUCCUGACGUAGUUAACCUAAGAGAAAAAUAGAUUUUGUUUUCCUUUUUUAGUCGCUAGCUUUAUUAGAUUUCUCACUCUCACAGAUUAUCCGAAGACUACCCAUUGAUUGAUCGCCCGUAGAGCUGCAUUUGGUGUAAUGAAAAAACUCACAGCUUUAUUGGCUCUCAGGAGACAAAACAAACAGAACAAGAUAUUCAUAUUAAUGCAAACAAUGCAACAAAUGAGGGGAAGAAUCGCCCGGCUGAAGCGAGGCCCGGCGCGGCCGCGGCCGGGGGGCUGAGAAGGGCCUGGGUGCCUGUCGCCCGGGAGCCGAGGUUUCCCGGCCUCCCCCGACCCCGGGCGCCAAGAGCAGUCGGUCCCCCCGGCCUCCCGCCGGCAAAGGGGCCCUGGGGCCCAGGCGCGCGGCCCCUGCGUGGCGGCAGGGUCAGGGGUGAGAGGGAGGAA